UACGUAGGGUGCGAGCGUUGUCCGGAAUUACUGGGCGUAAAGAGCUCGUAGGUGGUUUGUCGCGUUGUUCGUGAAAACUCACAGCUCAACUGUGGGCGUGCGGGCGAUACGGGCAGACUAGAGUACUGCAGGGGAGACUGGAAUUCCUGGUGUAGCGGUGAAAUGCGCAGAUAUCAGGAGGAACACCGGUGGCGAAGGCGGGUCUCUGGGCCGAUACUGACGCUGAGGAGCGAAAGCGUGGGGAGCGAACAGG
rnacentral:rRNA from 1 species